rnacentral:tRNA from 1 species
GUGCUUGUGGUGUAGUGGUUAUCACAUCCGCCUCACACGCGGAAGGCCCAGGUUCGAUCCCUGGCAGGCACA